AGCAGCCGCGGUAAUUCCAGCUCCAAUAGCGUAUAUUAAAGUUGUUGCAGUUAAAAAGCUCGUAGUUGAAUUUCGGGAUCAAUACGUCGGUCGUGCUUCGGUACGUACUAACGUUAUUGGUUUCUCCUUUCUAACAAAUCGUGAUGUCAUUAAUUUGGUGUUACGGGGAGUUGGGACUGUUACUUUGAAAAAAUUGAGUGUUUAAAGCAAGCAAUCGCUCGAAUACAUUAGCAUGGAAUAAUGAAAUAGGACGUUCGAACUAUUUUGUGGUUUCUAGGAUCGACGUAAUGAUUAAUAGGGAUAGUUGGGGGCAUUAGUAUUCAAUUGUCAGAGGUGAAAUUCUUGGAUUUAUUGAAGACUAACUACUGC
rnacentral:rRNA from 1 species